UAUGGCAACUAUGGAUAUAACAGCCAAGGUUACGGAGGUUAUGGAGGAUAUGACUACACUGGUUACAACAACUACUAUGGAUAUGGUGAUUAUAGCAAUCAGCAGAGUGGUUAUGGGAAAGUAUCCAGGCGAGGUGGACAUCAAAAUAGCUACAAACCAUACUAAAUUAUUCCAUUUGCAACUUAUCCCCAACAGGUGGUGAAGCAGUAUUUUCCAAUUUGAAGAUUCAUUUGAAGGUGGCUCCUGCCACCUGCUAAUAGCAGUUCAAACUAAAUUUUUUCUAUCAAGUUCCUGAAUGGAAGUAUGACGUUGGGUCCCUCUGAAGUUUAAUUCUGAGUUCUCAUUAAAAGAAUUUGCUUUCAUUGUUUUAUUUCUUAAUUGCUAUGCUUCAGUAUCAAUUUGUGUUUUAUGCCCCCCCUCCCCCCCAGUAUUGUAGAGCAAGUCUUGUGUUAAAAAAAGCCCAGUGUGACAGUGUCAUGAUGUAGUAGUGUCUUACUGGUUUUUUAAUAAAUCCUUUUGUAUAAAAAUGUAUUGGCUCUUUUAUCAUCAGAAUAGGAGGAAGUGAAAUACUACAAAUGUUUGUCUUGGAUUCAAGUCACUAGAAGCAUAAAUUUGAGGGGAUAAAAACAACGGUAAACUUUGUCUGAAAGAGGGCAUGGUUAAAAAUGUAGUGAAUUUUAAAUGUUUUUAGCAAAAUUUGAUUUUGCCCAAGAAUCCCUGUCUGAAUUGGAAAUGACUUAAUGUAGUCAAUGUGCUUGUUGGUUGUCUUAAUAUUACUUCUGUAGCCAUUAAGUUUUAUGAGUAACUUCCCAAAUACCCACGUUUUUCUUUAUAUGUAUUGUGCUUUUUAAAAACAAAUCUGGAAAAAUGGGCAAGAACAUUUGCAGACAAUUGUUUUUAAGCUUCCAUUAAAUAAAAAAAAUGUGGACUUAAGGAAAUCUAUUAAUUUAAAUAGAACUGCAGCUAGUUUAGAGAGUAUUUUUUUCUUAAAGCUUUGGUGUAAUUAGGGAAGAUUUUAAAAAAUGCAUAGUGUUUAUUUGUAUGUGUGCUCUUUUUUUAAGUCAAUUUUUGGGGGGUUGGUCUGUUAACUGAGUCUAGGAUUUAAAGGUAAGAUGUUCCUAGAAAUCUUGUCAUCCCAAAGGGGCGGGCGCUAAGGUGAAACUUCAGGGUUCAGUCAGGGUCACUGCUUUAUGUGUGAAAUCACUCAAAUUGGUAAGUCUCUUAUGUUAGCAUUCAGGACAUUGAUUUCAACUUGGAUGGACAAUUUAUAGUUACUACUGAAUUGUGUGUUAAUGUGUUCAGUCCUGGUAAGUUUUCAGUUUGAUCAGUUAGUUGGAAGCAGACUUGAAGAGCUGUUAGUCACGUGAGCCAUGGGUGCAGUCGAUCUGUGGUCAGAUGCCUGAGUCUGUGAUAGUGAAUUGUGUCUAAAGACAUUUUAAUGAUAAAAGUCAGUGCUGUAAAGUUGAAAGUUCAUGAGAGACAUACAAUGAGGGCUGCAGCCCAUUUUUAAAAACAUUAUAAUACAAAAGUAUGCACAUUUGUUUACAUAUCCCUGCCUUUGUAUUACAGUGGCAGGUUUGUGUACUUAAACUGGGAAAGCCUCAGAUCUAUGAUUACCUGGCCUAUCAUAGAAAGUGUCUAAAUAAAUCACUCUGUCAAUUGAAUACAUUAGUAUUAGCUAGCAUACUUCAUUAUGCCUGUUUUCCAUAAAUACCACACCAAAAACUUGCUUGGGGCAGUUUGAGCCUAGUUCAUGAGCUGCUAUCAGAUUGGUCUUGAUCCUAUAUAAUAGGCCAAAUGUCUGUAAACAGCUGUGCUGGUGGAAUGUAGAAAGUCACUGCACUCAGAUUCAACUUCCUGAUUGGAAGUCAUCACAGUGUGAUUAAACAUUUUCACAAAGAAUAGUAGAUAAAUAACUUGGUUUUUAAUGUUAACUUUGUUUCCAUUAAGUCACAUUUAAAAACUUAUCCUCACGCCUACCUGAGUUAAUUAUCUGUUGACCUAGAUAUCUUUCUGGCCACUCACUGACUUAUUUCUUGAACUUUUGCCAUUUGCAUAAAUCUUGUCAGCUUUGUUCUUGAUUAUGCAUUGUCCAGGCUGAGCUAGUUGUCUUUCCAGGAAUCCCUUUGUCUCUGAAUUAGGUCCUUUGUUUCCUAAAUCAUCCUGCUUGUUUGGCACAAGUCUUCCCAGGCCAGUGAGACCUCCGUGUCCUCUCAGCACCAUAGGGGUAGGUAACCCUGGUUAGGCUGGACAGGGGUUUGCUGAGGGAGUUUGUUCAUUUGAAUCUAGGUCUUACAUGACGUCUUUCAAAUAGGGUUUUUACCUUGACACUAAACUGUCCAGUCUAAGCAGUUCUGCAAAAUGUGAGGGAAUUAUGAACUUCUUCCUGCAGUGGGUUUUUAUGGUUUUGGUUUGUUUUUUGUUGUUUUGGUUCUUUGUUGAGCCCUGGACAAAAACUUCCCUAGUUCUGGUUUCUACAAUUUAAAUUAAAAACAGAAUUCAUCUUAGAAUUUUUCACCCUCUUCCCCAACUAUUCUAAUCAAUCUUAAGUAUGCCCUUCAUCUUUUUUCCUUCCUAAGGCUUUUACUGAUAGUGUAAUUCCGUACUCUUCAACCCUGGGAAGGCUGAAGUGGAUUCUUGAGCUCAUUUCAAGGCUGACCUGGGUGUUGGCAAGAACCCAGCUUAGAACAAACACAUGCAAGGCCAUCUUACCUUACAUCCUGUUGCUUGGACUUCUUCCUGCUCAAAGUUUUUAGUGGAUGCUAAGUGAUCUUUGCUUCCACUGAGGAGUGGAACACUUUAGAAUGAACCUCUAGAUAGAUAUUUUUAUUGUCUGGUGAGGGUUACUGGAGUUUCCCACCCUGCCUGAAGGGUGAAUCUGGCUUACAGUGUUCUCAUCUCAAAGGGAAGAAGGCAGAUGGCUGUGUCCAGAGAGAGCCAUCACAGUUUGCUUCAGAGACACUAGAAUGGGCUGGAAGAUCUAGUGGUCUUAAUCAGACUUGAAACCUGGCCUUUCUUCAUUACCCAUAUGUCUACCAGUACUUGGGCUAACACUUAAGCCAUUAGGGCCUUUGUAGGGGUGUUUUGAGACCCCCUCCAUGCU
rnacentral:lncRNA from 1 species